rnacentral:rRNA from 1 species
UACGGAGGAUGCGAGCGUUAUCCGGAUUUAUUGGGUUUAAAGGGUGCGUAGGCGGCAGAUUAAGUUAGAGGUGAAAUUCCGAGGCUCAACCUUGGCACUGCCUCUGAUACUGGUUUGCUAGCGAGUAGAUGCUGUAUGCGGAAUGCGUGGUGUAGCGGUGAAAUGCAUAGAUAUCACGCAGAACUCCGAUUGCGAAGGCAGCAUACCGGCGCGCAACUGACGCUCAUGCACGAAAGUGUGGGUAUCGAACAGG